ACAAGUAUCUAAAGGGUGGGUUUAAGGAGGACGGAGCCAGGCUCUUUUCAAUGGUUCCCAGUGACAGGACAAGGGGCAAUGGGCACAAGCUGGAACAUAGGAAGUUCUGUUCAAAUACACGGAAAAACUUCUUUACGGUGAGGGUGACGGAGCACUGGAACAGGCUGCCCAGGGAGGUUGUGGAGUCCCCUUCUCUGGAGACUUUCAAGACCCGCCUGGAUGCAGCCCUGAGGGAUGUGCUUUAGGCAAUCCUGCUUUAGCAGGGGAGUUGGACUAGAUGAUCUCUAGAGGUCCCUUCCAACUCUGAAGAUUCCGUGAUUCCGUGAUAUGGUUUCCCCAAUAUUCUUAACUCUUUCGUAACAGUAUAAUACGGCUUCUGUGGAACUGAUGUAAGGGUCAGGAUUCACUAAACCUGAUCUGUCAAUUAGAGGAGGAAAUAACAUUUAAUCCACAUUAUUAAGCCUGAUUUCAUAUUACUGAGAGAGUGACUGUAAAUGGCUGGAUUAAAAGAGUGUCUUAACAAAAUCGUAAAGCACAGAGAAGGAGCCAUGUAGUGUUUUUGUAACGGAUGCCUCUUUUCCCUAUGAUCCUCUUUUAAUGUGGCUUUGAAAAUUGCUCAGCAGUACAGUAUUAUUUAGCUUUGCUUUAAAUGUUAAAACACAUUUCCUUUUUUCAACCUAAAGGAGACCUUUAUAUGGAAUUAAUGCACAAAAUCACAAGUAAAGGACCAUUAAGCGAGUAUAAUGCUGGGGGGAAAAUGUGCUUUGAACUUUGUUUCCAUUAUUCGGAAUACAUGAAGUUUUAGCCCAAAUAGAAAUGAAAGACUAUUGAGGAAACUUUACAAAUACCUGAAAUUGUAACUUUUACUUUGCUCUUGUUAACUAUGUCAUAGUUAAGGAAGAAAGGAAAAUUGUUAAGAGGCUUUGCCAUUGCAAGGGAUAUAACCAUGACCCUGUCUUAACUGUGGGCAGGUGCAAAAGUUCAUCAGUAGUCAGUAAAUUCAUUGAACUUUUAAAAUGUUUUCCUUUGAUACAUCGAACUAAAAGGAAUAACGUACUCCUGAAAGCACAAGAAAACUUUGUAUAUUUUCCCAAUAUUAAUUACAUAUGAGCUUGUAUUUCUGGCUCAAGAUGAAAUGAUCCAAUUGUGUCUCAUGGAAAAUAGUUUCCUACCACUGCCGGAUCAUUAGGAUUUUACAAAUCCCAUGCUGCUUCCUAUUGAUUUGAAGGUAAGGUGAUUAUAGGGAUGUAGAAGUGUAGCCUUGUGCCCCAUAGAGCUGAUCGUUCAAUAACUGUUUCCUAUGGGCUUUGUUGUAUCAGUCUUCAGUUUUCUGGCCAACUUUUGAACAUUUUCCUUCUCUGCUGGUGUUGCUGGGGUGGCUGCCCUUUGUUCUAAACAAACCCUUUUACCCAGAGCACUAGGCAGCAGGCCCAUUUCAUAAAUUUUGCUGGAGAUAAUUAUGUUUUACUUUAUUUGGUGGUACUGUUGCAGUGCUCGGCAAUCAGGUAAGGGUUUUUAGAAAAGGGCAUUGUUUGAACCUCGGACACUUGUUCUUAUUCAUGAACAUGUAUGUGUGGCGCUGGUUUUUUUGAGAAUUCAACCUUCAGUCUUUGCAGACUGGCUGUCCAUAAACUACAGCAAAACACCCUUUCCUCUGGGUACAGCAUUCCAGAACAUUUUGCCACUAGUUUUAUGGAGAGGGAAUACUAAUAUUUUUUUUCUUUCCCACCCUGUUUUAUUGUGCUGUCUUGCAAGACUGGGGUUUUUUGGUAGCUGUCUAUUUUUUUUUCUACUAGGACAGUUUAAAAAAAAAAAAGAAAAAGUGGGGAGGGGAAUUAUUAUUGAUUUUAAUUCUUGCCGCUGUUUUGUAUUGACAGAGCAGAAAAUACAAUAAAAGAGGUGGAGGUGGUAAAUCAGAGAUGGCUUUUGUAAUUGCCUACUUAUAUCAUAAGGAUUCUUGGCCUGACCUAAUGUAUUCUUAAUCUGUCUUUACAAUAUGCAGAUGUUGCUCACUUAAAUGGAUUUCAACUGAAGCAGAAUUCUGUAAUUAGACAGUAACACUGGAGAAAUUGACCAUUAUCUCUAGUUAUUGGAUUUUCAGGCAGCCUGUAUUAGCCAGUCAUGCUUCUACCGGUGGGUCUUUAAACAUGGAAAUAAUGCAUCCAAAGAUUAUUGUUCAAAACUAUUUUCAAUAGUCUAAUAGCUUUUUAAUUUUUUAAAAUGGCUUAUAUUCAUCAGCUGGAGCACAGGAUAAUCAGAUUGAUUCAAUCAACUCAGGUAUUUUGUCCCUUUUAGCUAAUGACAGGUUGUAUCCAGAUAUUAAACCAAUGGGGAAGCUGUGAUUUUAUUAAUUUUUUUGGAUAAUCUUAGAAGCAGUAUCCCACACAGUCAGUAAGUUAGGGUUGUGGGGUUCUCUGGCAAGUAAGAAAAGGGCUUUAUAGGCUUUAAGUAAAUAUGCAGAGUUGCUUUGGUAGUUUGUCAGUGGUUUGAGUGAUUCUUGGUUACUUUGAUUUAUUGUACUGUUGUAGACUCGUUUAUGUAGGGGAGAUUCGGAGCAGGGUAUGAAUUCCUGGUGUUUUAUCUAUACUAUGCUUGGAUCUCUGUGCGGAUGCUCUGGGGACAAGAUACAAGGAUUUCUUCAAAUAAAACUUAUAGGCACUGAAUCCGGCUGUGAUCAGGACAAAGGGGUAAGCAUGGGCUCUACGGUUAUCUAGCGACUCUCUCACUGAGAGACCAGGAGGAUUUGCUUCACAGAGGGGUGAAUGGAGGCAGCCUGUGACCUCCCCAGAUGCCUUUUCCCUGGUAAAACAUCUCACAACUCACUCUGAGCUACCUCCCCUAGGUAGACAAGCUCUAUAUCUUAGUGUCUCUGCAAUGCACAUCAAAUUCUUGAGUGUGCUAAGGUUUACACGUGUUUCUGCCCUCAGUUGGAAGUAAAACAUUUUAAAUAACAUAUUGCCUGGGUGUACCUGGGAAAAAGAUGUUUGCAGAGAGGUUCAGGACCCACAAAGGGUAUGGAACUUUGGAGCUCUGUGUCCAAGGCCCAAAGAUGAUGCAUGGACACGCUCAAGAGCAGGAGCGGGCGCUUCUCAUCAAGGCCAAAUGCCUUCUUUCAGUUCAGUGCCUGUUGCUUCAUGUAACCUUAAUGCAUGCCAACAGCUAGAAAGGGGACUUCUUUGCCAUUGUCACCUCACUGUAUUUUAGUUGCCCAUUAGACACAGCUCCGUGGACCAGCACGAUACCUUGCUGCAUAUUUGUUUGGGUCAUUCUAUAAGGUAUGUGAUGUGAUAACGUUACCUUAACAUUUCCUUGGUGACAGCUACAACAGAUAUUAUUUCUUCAGCAGCUCCAGGCUAUUUUUCCACAGAGCUGUUCUCUAGAAUCUCACAAACCUAGGCAGAUGAGUUGAUUAUAAGCAUUGAUCUUUUCUUUUCAUUACUUACUAUAUAGGAAAUAGUUUGCAGCUGGCAGAUCUGGACCACAGGGCUAGAAAAAACAUUUGAACAACUCCAGCUAUGAAAUUAGAUGCUGCAAGUCUCUGCAUAUUCCACUUUUGAAUGGUCUUCUGAGUCUCUGCACUUCUGGAGUCCCCUGGUUGGAGUAUUGCCCAAACACUGAUAAAUUAAUGCCUUUAUGAGUCAGAGAUGUAUAAGUCUGGAGAACGGAAAUACAGUGUUCAGUGUGAGCACAGGGCCACCUGUGUAUCGCAGGAGUGCUGGAUGCAAAGGCCAAUCUGGAUCCCCGGAGCAGCAUGUUCAUGCGAUGACCAGUGCUAAUCAGCCCAGGUAGGCUGUUUGGCACCUCUGGGCCUGCUACUCCGAUACUGGUGGGCACAGCAGGUGUCUUGAGAGGAACUCGUGUAGGAACGAGAAGCGCCUUCUGCUCUAUUUCCAUGGAAAUCUCUCUGAAGAUGAGGCUAAUCUGGAAGAAAAUGUUCUCUUCGCAUUUAAGGCCUUUUUCCUAAACGAGGACCUGUCCCUUGUGUGAAAUGCUGCGUAAACUCAGCAGGGACAGCGUGUCCUGCCCCAACAGGGCUUGCAGACAAGUGAGUUUUAUUCUCUCAAAUCCAAGCAAAGGAAGCGGUGGCUGCAGUGUGUCCUGUGUCAUCAGUAACUCCGUGACACAUCGACCAAAAAGUCAAAGAAUAGGAACUGACAGAAUAAAUGUUGUGUGGCAAUUUGGCAAGGAUCUGCUAAAAAAUGGAUGUUGUUCCAGGAAGAAAGCAUGUUGAGAAUUCAGUUUUUAAUGGACCCUUUUGUUUAGCUGAUGGAACGUGUGGUCUCAUCCAGUGCAUGAUCCUCCUGUUUCUUCGGGGGUAGCAGAUUGGCUUGAGAGAAGACGCUCUGAAUUCUCACUAGGAUGGAAGAAAAAUUGAAGAUCGAAAGUCACAUUGAGGAUUCUGUACAUCACCUUUUUGCAGAGGCCAAAACUCUGACACCUGAAAAAGAUGAAAGUUGUCAGCUCUCGGCUGGUGUUUCAUCCCAAGUGGAAAGAAAGGCCUGUGUUGACUUUGACUCUCAAAGAAUUUGUCCAUAUCUGUGUUCUUUCCGAGAGGAGAUACAGGAUGCAGGUAGAAGCUGUGCAUAGCCCUGGUAUGAAGAGAAGACAAAAAUGUGACCUGUUCUGUUGCACUUUCUGCUGAAGGGAAAGGUUUCCUAGAGACUUCUCAAGAAGACAACAAAGAUUGAAGAAAACUCGCACGGAGAACGAAGAUGGCAAAUUUAUUUUUACAUUGCAAUAUAUGUGAAUGUGAACUGGAAAGAACUUCCAUUGCUUUUAAUGGACAGGCUGCUCUGAGGCCCGGCUGACGUCAGUACAACAAUGGCAGGUGCUUAAAGGCUUUGUGGAACUUGAGGACCAGAUUUGCAACUUCAAACCUAAGAAAUACUUAGUCAUUCUAAAGCUUUCUUUACCUGUGUGAAACUCUCAUGCCUUGGCCUCCUGAGCUCAUUUUCACUCUGCAGAGCCUCUGCUGGCCUGGGACGAACAUCGAGGCCGCAUUUGGCAUCCUCUGGCCCUCUCAGUGCUGAAUCAGUCUAACUGUUGAUGAAGACAUCUAAACUUAAGAAGAGUGCUUCACGGGCUGUUACGCAGAGGAGACUCAAGGAUGCAGUUUCUUUCAGGGCUGAUGUUUCAGUGCUAGCUAUUUCUGUAUCGGUUCCAAGAAGCCUGCAACUUCUCUGCUUGCAAACAGCAGACACCAGCACCCUGAAAACAACAGGAGGUAAGACAGGAGAAGCAGCAACACUCCAUCAGAGGGGGCUGUGGUUAAGAAAACAGCACAGGUGAACUUUGGAAUGCGCAACUACAAAGAGAAAAACAUUUGUGCUUCAGCUGUGCGAGCGACUGAGUGCCUGAAGUCGUCACUAACGCAGGCAGGAGAUGCAUGUGCGUAAAGGGGAUGAAAAUACUGGAAUCCCUUCAGUAGCUGACUGGAGCAGCACAUCGCCAGAGAAGGGGUGUUGCCUUUCCUUCCAUCAGCUCUGCUCACAGAAGAGGAUACAUUUCUUCACUUCUUUGGACAAAGUUCUCUAGCAACUUUCAAGUCCAACCGCAACCAAAAAUAUUCUUGUCUUGAUUGAUCCAAACGGCUCAGAGGAUCUCCUGUCACGCAGGUAAACUGAUGGUGAGUUAUAACCAACUCUAAUUGUUGGCUAUGUGGUAAAGCCGUCGAUUUAUGAUGAAGAACAUAUUACCAUCCUUAAUUUGAGAAUCACAGUAAAUGGGUCCACCUGCCUUGGAGAGCAGGAAUGGAAGAUCCUUGGCAGCAGACAGAAGAGGCCAGCACAGGCAGACUAGAUGUGUGUGCCAGCCAUGGCUGCUCUGUGGACCUAGGAGGAAGAGAACUGUCCCUCCAAGAAGCUGCUGUACCUCUGCUGCUGCUAUUGAGAUGAGCCAGCUUGGGGCAGCCAAGUUCUCGGAGGAGGUCACCCAGGCGGCCCCCACAGGCCUGAGGUUACCCCUGCAGCCCCUUGAGAAGGGACAGGAGCCGGUGCUGCAGAGAGUGGGAGCUCUCGGGUGUGCAGGCCAUGGAAAGGCAAGAGAUAGGAGAAAAAGUACUUGGGAAGUCUGCUAAACCCAGGGACCAAGGACAUAAAAUAGUGGAACACCUCAGGUAAUGUAAUUCCACAUCCACCAGUCUCCAGCCUCUGUGAGCCCCGCUCACUUCUCCAGCCGGAUCCAGGCUGCCUGACAACUCGGUUGUCUUUCAGUCGGGUCUCACUAUUCUGCUGUCAGCACUUCGGCCAUCUUCACCUCUGAGGUUAAAAGUUUGAUCAGAUGCCUGCUCUACAUGCAAAAUCGUCAAGUGACUGCAGCAAACAUCUCUCAGAACACAAAGCGGUAUCAGGCAGGCAGCAGCUAAAACAAGCCCCUGCCGCCAGGGGAAGCAAACAGUGGGGCUGUGGCUUCCCACUGAUUUCCCCAGCCCUUAGCUGGUGGGGGAAGGAUUAUUAAACCCUUCUGCUUUGCUCAGACGUGCUACAAACAGAACGGUAAAUCUAAAUAAUGAGGCGCACGCUGUUCCCUUCUGUAUGCUGCAGAUGACAAGCAGGGACCAAAAACCAAAAGGAAAACCUAAGUGUAGCUGGAGGCUAUUGUGCCCACCAUUGCGCUGACUCCUGCAGUGUGCUGAGGAAUGUACCUUGCACUUAUCUUGCACAUCCUGCAAUUGGGACUGCCUUCUAUGGGAGGCUGUUUAUUCCUGCCAGGAUACUCUUUGCACCAGUGAACCCCCGUUAUAUGGCUCAGCACCCGCUCUGACAAGCUGCAGAAAAGGAUGUCGUAUCCUGAGAUUAGAGCAGCAGUUCUUAAAGUUUUCCCCGAAUUUCCUCCUCUUCUGCCUUCUGCUCCCCUAAGGAAGGUGGCAAGUACAAUUGCACCAGGACCACUUUUCUGCAUGAUGGUCCUUAUGGGUUAUCAUGCCCAGCCCACAAGGACCCUUGGCCACAAAGAGCCUGAUGGAGGCCCUCCUGAAGGGGACUACUGCUCAGGCCUGCCCCCAAAUAAAUCCUACUUGCUCUGGUUUGAGAUUGUCCGUAUUACACUGGGCUUUGUUCAAAAGCUCCGAGACCUGCCUGUGAUCAGUAGCAAAUCUAAAAGCUGCCAGCAAAGGGAGACUGGACAGGGAUUACACCACAACUGAUGUUAUUUCUCAUGUAUUGGCCUACACCUGAGACAAACUAUUGCUUUGUUCAUCUACUGCAAACACUUAAACCCCUAAAGUUGGGUUUCUGGAAGCAGAAACCUCAGAAAGCGGGCCAGUGCUUACAGAAACAUGCUGAGAGAUGAAAUCUAGCUGUUGUCUCUAGGACUGAUCAGAGUCAUGUAUGAGGCCAUUGGUGCCUCAUCCAGACUUCUAUCUAACUGGCAUGUGCUGAAUACAUUGGACAAGCUCAACUACCUAGGUCUGAAAGUAACAUUUUUACGAGCCAGCGUAACUAUUCAUAAGCAAGGGAUAGUCUGAGCCACUUGCCAGCUGUGUUACUUCAGCGGAUUAGAAUUAAAGAGUAGGGUCCUUUUUUCCCCAACAUAGAUAUUGAGCUAGAAAUUCAUGGCUACUUUCAGAAGUGAUCCAAGUCCAUCAUAUCCCGUGUAGGAACAGAUGAACAGAAGUGUUUUCACCUGUGAGCAGUUAGAGGCUAAAAGGUGGCCCUUCAGCUGCACACACAUACACUCACACUCUCUCUUCAUCAGGAUCCUCAGCUGAGAAUGCCAGGGGCACUUUGGGCACUUUUCAAGGCUUUCCUCUCACCUGUCUGUCUAAAGCACCAGUUUGAGUUUUUGGAGCGGAUGAAUCUCCCUCUAUUGAACCUCACAAAACUUUUCUGAUAGAAAGCUGAUUUCUGAUUCAGACUCAACUCCCGUCUGCAUUAUGAAAAAUAUUCCUGACCAUUCCUCCACGUUCCUUAAGCCUUUCAGUGAGAUUCAGUGAAUCUCACCGGUUAUUGGCAAUUGGUGAUCCUGUUAACAGCAGUUCCCAGGGUCCCAACGUGAUGACAGGUCAUGAUCUCAGUGUGACAAAUCAUUUUUGAAGGGGGACCUGACAUUUUCAAAAGACACUUUAGCUACUUGCCAUUUCUCUGGGGUAAUUCCUAUGUGUGACUUGGCAUACCUGGGCUGAGUACAUCUACUCCGGUUAAUGCUUCCUAAAGUGACAGAUUUCAGAAUAAUUCUGUGUUAUAUAUUUGGAUAACUACUUCACAAACUGUUUGUCUUUAAGAAAUGAUAAUGAAAAGCAAAUGAUGAAAAAAAUGAGAAAAAAGAAAGAGGUUAAUGGUGCUGAAAUGAAAUGGGAACACACGUCUAAGUGAUGAUUUUAGUGUUUUGGGGCUCUGGUUUGGAAGUAGAGCUGAUUGCCAAAGUUACUGGAUAACAUAAAUUCUCUUUCAAUUUCUUUGCAAUUUUGAAGCUAAUACAAUUCCAGUGAAAGUUCCUAAUGUUAUUUUUCCUCUCUUAACCUAAUUAACAAACUGAAAAUUUAUGUAGUCCUAAAUGGAAUUACUUUCUCCUAAGCACUGCAGAGGGAGUUAUUUCUCAUGUACCUAUUAAAGCACGGCUAUCGAUGCUAAUGCUUCACUCCGGGUACAAUACCUGAAUUCUCUUCACGGGAAUAAUACAUCAAAAUUGCCCUGUCUGAGGCCGUGCUCCCUUGUGAUGCAAACUGCUAACGUUCACUCAGGACAGUAUCACCCUGCCUGCAUUGUUAUUACUUUAAAUGUUGAAUCAGAAUUGUUAAUUUUAGCAUAUUUACCUGCUGAACACUUGAAAAAGCCCUGGGUAUGGCUCAAAAAUCUGUUAUAGUUUUAAAGACAAACUAAAAAAACCUCACCCCAAACCCCUUAGUUUUUGUUUCAUAAAAAGCUUCAAGAACUCUUUUGAUUAAAUUAUUAAAAACAAAAUAAAUUGCUGAAGGUCUCAGAGAGGAACCUUUUUUUUUCUUGAACGUGAUGUUUCAGUGAUGAAUUUUUCAACAGAGUUGUAUUAAAACAGGAUUACUCGUUAACAAGAACCUGCCAUCCCUUUUAGAGUGAUAUUCUAGGGUAUUACAAAUACUGUACUAAUAGUUUCACAUGCAGUUAGUUUCUCAAAAACAAAUUUAACACAUUUCCAAGAAGAAAAUGUGUGUAUUAUUUUGUGGCUUAAAUCUGUUUUAUCAUGAUACCACUUCCAAAAUACUGAAGGCAUAAAAUGGUUUAUGGUCCAAAAGAUAAACUAGCACAAGCCACUAUGCUGGAAUAGAGAGAAGGAUCUGAGAAAGUGCUAAAAGCAUUAUUACAGCUACAGAGUGGACUCUUAAAUCUUUUCUGUAACUUGAUCAGUUCCCACUGGAACCACACUGUAUUGUUUUCAUAAAUAAACACCAAAAGUUGCUGUGCACAGUGUUUCUGGACUAUAACAGACUGCUUUUGUGCUUUAACAGUUUCAUGUUAAAUUGUAAACUAUAAAUGAUCCCAUGAAAAAGUCUCUUUUCCAGCAUGCCACUUGUGAAUGACACGUCAUCUUUCUUGCUGAUCAACCAAGCAAUCGCGUUUGUAUAGCACUAAACCACAGUCUGGUUCUUCAUCCUCCAUGGGAGAACCACAGCUCACAGCCAGGCUGGUAGGAGCAGCCCAGCAACCUCCUCCUCUCUGAGGGAAGAGACUGGUUUCCUGAACUGGAAUUUGUCCAUGGCAACGAGAUUAAGGAGAAGAUUCCUCUCCCACCUUGGUUGUUUUUUUUUGUCAGGAAAGAGCAGUAGAGAAUAACCCUCUGUUUUUCUCUGCUCAACCAUUACAACACUAAAAGCCUCCAUGCGUUAAACUGUCUUUUUUGCGUGUAGAAAAGGCAUUCGCAUCCCUGGCAUACUGCUCACUAUUGCCAGCCAAACCUGGCCAAUGAGGUUUGGUUUGUCCAUUUUCAAUAGAACAGUUUAACCUUAGAGUAGACCAUAUUUUUGCAGUUCAGGUUUUAAAUGGAGUGCUCCCUAAAAGAUCAGGCUGCAGCAAAGAUCUCCUGUCCUGCGUUGGCGACAGCUCAACAAUUUGUGAAGCACAAAAUUCCACGUCCUGCAGGCUCAGCCCCCAGAGUGCCCUCCUUGCCCCAGCUCUACACGCUUGCGUUGUCCUCAUUCUCCUCCCCACCCAAGAAGUCUGGAAAAAUGUCUGUCAAAGAAAAGGCAGUUUGUCCAAACUGUUCUAAUGGUUUAGUUGAAGCUCAUAGUAUGUGCUCGUAAGUAAAAUAUAAUCCGUUAUUUUUAAACUCCAAGCAUGGUUGUUUAUUUGAAAAACAAAAACAAAAAAAGAAUGCAGGUGACUUUGUGAAGAUGUACUCUGGAGAGCAGUUUGAAAAGAAAAAACAUACGAAGGUGGUUUCAGAAAUAAGGACUUUUGAAAGGAGUUUUUGGAGAAUCUACAGUAGUUCAAGACACAUGAAAAGCAUCCAGACCUUAAAUAUUGAAACAAAACAUUCGAAGAGAAUAAAAAUAUGGCUCUGUGCUAUAUACCACUUAGUAUGCAGAUGGUGGUACUUGAGAGAACAGGUGAUGAACAAGUGGAAGGGUCAGCAAUUUCAAGUACAACAUCUGUAUAAGCAAUGAAUGAAUCCAGCCUUCCUGCCAUGGAAUGGCAAUGAUCGCAGCACAGUAGCAGCAAAUAACUUCUCCCAGAACGGUUAAGUUUCUUACCCUAAAGCAGAAAUAACAUUUUAAAAUAUCCAGCCUGAAAUGCCUCUAGGCUGUUCUCUUGUCCAGAGUAUGCCAACAGCUUGGAGAGAGAGAUGAAACAAAUAUCAGUCGUCUAAUGCGGGAGGAUCAGCAAAGAUUGAGGUCCUGCUGUGUUAGGAUCUACACAUACAUGUCGUAACUACUGUUCUUCUCUGAGCCUCCUACUGUUUAAAUAGAAAGGAUCGUUAUCUGUGUCUUGUAGAGGAAUCAAGAGAUUUGCUUUAAGUCUGAGAUGAACUUGUUGCAGAAUGAGAAACUCAAAUCUAAAAGCCUAAAAUUUGGACUUCAAUUGCCUAUAAACCAGAGACAUCCAGAACAGGCGAGUGGAUGCAGCACAGGACUUGCAAAAGAACUACGCUGAUCUGAAGUGGCAACUGGAGGUGCAUCUAGAGUGACACUUGUGAGCUGGGUGCCAGCCUUUCAUCUUGGCCUUUUACUUUUCCCUUGACAGAUGGACAGCGACAGGGCGAUACUUUCAAAACCGACUUCACGUGUUGACAAGUUACAGAUGCAAACUCUGCUCCUGGAGGACUAAUACAAUUGUUCUGCACCUUCACUGAAUGCAGCAAAAAUCCGCAGGAGUCUAGGCAUGAAACAGAGCUGGUUUCUAUUGUGCCAUAGUUUGAGUCAUUUCUGAGCACGCAGGAGAGAAGGCAGAAUAAAUGAGCAGCCGGUUAAAGCAUGUGCUGCUGUCAAUGCUCACUGACUCCGCUUCACCCACGCAGCUACUAUUAAGCGUACAGUAUAAAGUGGACUUGAACAGUUACACUGGAUAUUCCCUUGUCCCUGCAUGCCACAAAAAGUUCGUGAAGAGUUUUUAAUUAUGAGCCACGCAAAAAUGUGUUGCUGCUGUCUGCUGAUGUACUUAGGAAGGAUACCUUCAUAUGGAAAUGAAAGAGAAAUAAAACUUGUUGCCCCACAGCCAAAAGGAAAAACCAUAGCGUUCCCGGUAUGAGUGGAAAGCAAACAUUGAGGAAAUAAAAGUGGAUAUAUCAGAACUUGCAUUGCGUGUGACCAUGCACAUGGACAAGGCAUAAUUUAAAGAGCUGUGGUGUUGCUGAAGCCGGGGACACUUUUGUUGACGUCUGUUGAGAAUCGCUGUUAUAUAGCUCAUACUCCAGCACAGAGAAAUGUCACAGAGCUCCAGCAAAAAUACAACUUGGAAAGAUUUGUCAUUACAGAUGGUCUAAAUUAUACUGCACAGCACCGACUGUGUUUUCUCAUACAGCAUUUUGCAGGUUGUGUAUGUAAGAAAUCCUAUAUUCCCUGCUAUAGAACUAGGAAAUGGAUCCUGAAAUCAUUUCUUAGUGUAAAGUCAGCAGAUAUAAAACUAAUAAAUGAGCCUUGACUCAACAUGACUUUCUCCGGGUGCCAAAUCAGACCUUAAACCAGGACAGGAUGAGAUCUACCAGUUCUGAUGUGACAUUGCAGACAUCACAGAAAACAAAUAAAAAUGGAAUGAAUGGAUAUUUUAGUCCGUGUCCAUCAGGGUCAGCUGACAACUUCUUACAUAGACAGAUGUGCUGAUUUAGGUUAGGUACAUUUAGCUGUGGCUUUGUUUUGGAAAAAAUGGGCCUGCAUGGCAGCUGCAGAAAGUGUCACCUAGCCAGCAAAGCCAAGGAGUUGAAAGGCUUUUUUUUGGGACAACAUAUAUAUUGAAAAGUACCUUGCAAAAUCUGUGCCACCCUUCCUGGCCUUCCACAGAUUCAUUCUGUUUUCACAUGGACCUUUCUCCCCUUUUCCCCUGCCACCCUCAGGAUUCACGUUUACCUCCUCUGCAUUGAUUGUAUCCAUGAAGGUGUAAGGCUGCCUUCAGCAGACUCUCUCUCUCGUCUUCCUCACCUGACUCCUUGAUAUGUUCACAGUGAUGCCUUAUGUCUGCUUUGAUUGUCUACUGGUCAGAAGUAGUUUUAUCCACAACCCUGUGAAUGUAACAGCUCUCAUUGGUUUUGAAAUGGGCCUUAGAAGAGGAAGAACAGAAGUUAACAGCACCUUUUCAGUAGCCUGUAAGGUGAUUAAAAAGGUAAUAGAAAAAGUUCCUUUGACUUUUGUUUGCGUAUAUCUUCUCAUGAAAAGUGGGGAAGGUGAGAGAAAGUUAGAGCCCGACUGUAGUCUACUAUAGAAAAUAACUUCAAUGGGAAGAAUAAUGUUGCUUAGAAAACCAGGAAGCUGCACUGCGUAGGAAAUAGAGCAUGAAAAGGAUUUGUGCUGUGAUGUUGAGAUUAGAGAGAACAUGCAACAUGAAUUAGCAAGUCGAAUGCAAAUACUGUACACUCAAGUGUAACGUCAGCGUAAUACCAGAGAUGUGGGUGCAUAAGGAAUUGGAGAGUCUCUAAAGUAAUACUAAACCUGCUGCUCUCUGCUCACUGGAGCCCAUGCACAGUGGCUUAGGUGGCCCCAGCCUCCACUGAUCUAGAGCCUUACUUGUCUUUAGCAGUUUUUAUUGCAUGAAAUUAGAGGUUUUGUUUAUGCAGAUACUUGGCAUUUGGGACAGUGAUUUGCUCACAAGAACACGAGGAGGUUGACACGUCUUGGCUUUGGACAGAAACAGCAGUAACUAACCAAAGAUAACAUCUUGGUCCUUUAGAGAGCAGCGGGGGGAAGAAAAGCAGAUCUGUGAGAAAAGGGAGUGUGCUAGCAAGCACAAGUGAGGCUGCUUUUUUGGCCAGGCAGAUCUGUAACUAGAAAUUGCAGUCUCAGUCAUCUGUGUUUCUCUUUGCACCUAGUGGCAAGAUAAAGGAACAGGGCAGC